rnacentral:rRNA from 1 species
UACGGGGGGGGCAAGCGUUGUUCGGAAUUACUGGGCGUAAAGGGCUCGUAGGCGGCCAACUAAGUCAGACGUGAAAUCCCCAGGCUCAACCUGGGAACUGCGUCUGAUACUGGAUGGCUUGAAUCCGGGAGAGGGAUGCAGAAUUCCAGGUGUAGCGGUGAAAUGCGUAGAUAUCUGGAGGAACACCGGUGGCGAAGGCGGCAUCCUGGACCGACACUGACGCUGAUGAGCGAAAGCCAGGGGAGCAAACGGG